rnacentral:rRNA from 1 species
UAGGGAAUAUUGGGCAAUGGGGCGCAAGCCUGACCCAGCAACACCGCGUGAAUGAUGAAGGUCUUCGGAUUGUAAAGUUCUGUGAUGGGGGACGAAAAAACUGACGGUACCCCAAGAGCAAGCCACGGCUAACUACGUGCCAGCAGCCGCGGUAAUACGUAGGUGGCAAGCGUUGUCCGGAAUGACUGGGCGUAAAGGGUACGUAGGUGGUUAUACAAGUUAGUGGUGAAAUUCCGGGGCUCAACUCCGGCGCUACCACUAAGACUGUAUAGCUUGAGUGCAGGAGAGGUAAGUGGAAUUCCUAGUGUAGCGGUGAAAUGCGUAGAUAUUAGGAGGAACACCAGUGGCGAAGGCGACUUACUGGACUGCUACUGACACUGAGGCACGAAAGCGUGGGGAGCAAACAGGAUUAGAUACCCUGGUAGU